GAUGUAAAUGGAAACUUUAAAAACUCUCGUCUCUUCUUGUCCCUCUCUCUUUCUUCAUCAGAUCCGGCGGCAAAACGCAGCAAAUCAUAAGGAAUACUGUUAAGGAGGCGAUAAAAAGGAAUCUGUCGAGGUGGAGAGAGCUUUCAAGCCAACAACAAUUUCCACUACUUAGAGCAACAGUCCAAAACAUGAUCAGCAAUUGAGUCGAAGCGCUUUGCUCAAUGUAGUCGAAAUGGGAGCAUGCGUUCAAGCAGUCAAAAUUCACUCCAAAUCGUAGCACUCCAGUCGUAACACCUCCGUCGAAAGAAAGUGAAGGGUCGAAAAAGGGAAGCUAUUUUUAGAAACACUUUGAAGUAAAUAUGUAAUGUCGUUGUUUCUUCUUUCAUUUCCGUUGUAGACUUUCGUUCUCCUCCUUUACUGUUUUGUUAUGUUAUGGCCUGUCUUUCUGUAGAUUUUU